AGAGUUUGAUCCUGGCUCAGGAUGAACGCUAGCGGCAGGCUUAACACAUGCAAGUCGAGGGGCAGCGCGGGGCGGCAACGUCCUGGCGGCGACCGGCGGAAGGGUGCGUAACGCGUGAGCGACAUGCCCGUUGCCCGGGGACAACCGGUGGAAACGCCGACUAAUCCCCGAUGGGAUACGAUGCUGCAUGGCAUUGUAUUGAAAGUUACGGCGGCGAUGGAUUGGCUCGCGUCCGAUUAGCUGGUUGGCGGGGUGACGGCCCACCAAGGCUACGAUCGGUAGGGGUUCUGAGAGGAAGGCCCCCCACAAUGGGACUGAGACACGGCCCAUACUCCUACGGGAGGCAGCAGUGAGGAAUAUUGGUCAAUGGGCGGAAGCCUGAACCAGCCAUGCCGCGUGCGGGAAGGAGGCCCUAUGGGCUGUGAACCGCUUUUGCCUGGGGGCAAUAAGGGCGUCGCGCACGUCCGAUGAGAGUACCAGGCGAAUAAGCAUCGGCUAAUUCCGUGCCAGCAGCCGCGGUAAUACGGAAGGUCCGGGCGUUAUCCGGAUUUAUUGGGUUUAAAGGGAGCGUAGGCCGGAGAUUAAGCGUGUUGUGAAAUGUAGAUGCUCAACAUCUGCACUGCAGCGCGAACUGGUUUCCUUGAGUACGCACAAAGUGGGCGGAAUUCGUGGUGUAGCGGUGAAAUGCUUAGAUAUCACGAAGAACUCCGAUUGCGAAAGGCAGCUCACUGGAGCGCAACUGACGCUGAAGCUCGAAAGUGCGGGUAUCGAACAGGAUUAGAUACCCUGGUAGUCCGCACGGUAAACGAUGGAUGCCCGCUGUUGGUCUGGAUAGGUCAGCGGCCAAGCGAAAGCAUUAAGCAUCCCACCUGGGGAGUACGCCGGCAACGGUGAAACUCAAAGGAAUUGACGGGGGCCCGCACAAGCGGAGGAACAUGUGGUUUAAUUCGAUGAUACGCGAGGAACCUUACCCGGGCUUGAAUUGCAGAGGAAGGAUUUGGAGACAAUGACGCCCUUCGGGGUCUCUGUGAAGGUGCUGCAUGGUUGUCGUCAGCUCGUGCCGUGAGGUGUCGGCUUAAGUGCCAUAACGAGCGCAACCCCUCUCCUUAGUUGCCAUCAGGUAAAGCUGGGCACUCUGGGGACACUGCCACCGUAAGGUGUGAGGAAGGUGGGGAUGACGUCAAAUCAGCACGGCCCUUACGUCCGGGGCUACACACGUGUUACAAUGGCAGGUACAGAGAGAUGGUGUUCUGCAAAGCGCAUCUAAUCCUUAAAGCCUGUCUCAGUUCGGACUGGGGUCUGCAACCCGACCCCACGAAGCUGGAUUCGCUAGUAAUCGCGCAUCAGCCAUGGCGCGGUGAAUACGUUCCCGGGCCUUGCACACACCGCCCGUC
rnacentral:rRNA from 1 species